rnacentral:rRNA from 1 species
ACGGAGGGUGCAAGCGUUAUCCGGAUUCACUGGGUUUAAAGGGUGCGUAGGCGGGUGUGUAAGUCCGUGGUGAAAUCUCCGAGCUUAACUCGGAAACUGCCAUGGGUACUGCAUGUCUUGAAUGUUGUGGAGGUGAGCGGAAUAUGUCAUGUAGCGGUGAAAUGCUUAGAUAUGACAUAGAACACCAAUUGCGAAGGCAGCUCACUACACAAAUAUUGACGCUGAGGCACGAAAGCGUGGGGAUCAAACAG